rnacentral:rRNA from 1 species
GACGAACACUGGCGGCGUGCUUAACACAUGCAAGUCGAGCGGAAAGGCCCUUUCGGGGGUACGCGAGCGGCGAACGGGUGAGUAACACGUGAGUAAUCUGCCCUGGACUCUGGGAUAGCCACCGGAAACGGUGAUUAAUACCGGAUAUGACACCUUGCUGCAUGGUGGGGGGUGGAAAGUUUUUUCGGUCCAGGAUGUGCCCGGGGCCUAUCAGCUUGUUGUGAGGUAAUGGCUCACCAAGGCUUUGACGGGUAGCCGGCCUGAGAGGGUGACCGGUCACACUGGGACUGAGACACGGCCCAGACUCCUACGGGAGGCAACAGUGGGGAAUAUUGGACAAUGGGCGGAAGCCUGAUCCAGCAACGCCGCGUGAGGGAUGACGGCCUUCGGGUUGUAAACCUCUUUCAGUACCGACGAAGCGUGAGUGACGGUAGGUACAGAAGAAGGACCGGCCAACUACGUGCCAGCAGCCGCCGUAAAAC